GCCAGGCGUGGUGGUGUAUGCCUGUAAUCCUAGCUACCUGGGAGGCUGAGGCAUGAGAAUCACUUGAACCCAGGAGAUGGAGGUUGCAGUGAGCCGAGAUCAUGCCACUGUACUCCAGCCUGGGCAACAGAGUGAGACUGUGUCUCAA
rnacentral:SRP_RNA from 2 species